GGGGCAGCGGGGUAGUGCUUGCACUACUGCCGGCGACCGGCGCACGGGUGAGUAACACGUAUGGAACCUGCCCGCAGCAGGGGGAUAAGCGGAAGAAAUUCCGUCUAAUACCGCGUAACAACGUUGGGAGGCAUCUCCGGAUGUUUAAAGAUUUAUCGGCUGCGGAUGGCGAUGCGGCGCAUUAUCUAGUCUGCGGGGUAACGGCCCACCGAGGCGACAAUACGUAUGGGUUCUGAGAGGAAAGUGCCCCACACUGGUACUGAGACACGGACCACACUCCUACGGGAGGCGCCAGUGAGGAAUAUUGGUCAAUGGCCCAGAGGCUGAACCAAGCCAAGUCUGCGUGAGGGGAAGUCGGCCAUACGGGUUGUAAACCUCUUUUGUCGGGGAGCAAAGAGAGCCACGUGUGCCUCAUCGAGAGUACCCGAAGAAAAAGCAUCGGCUAACUCCGUGCCAGCAGCCGCGGUAAUACGGAGGAUGCGAGCGUUAUCCGGAUUUAUUGGGUUUAAAGGGUGCGCAGGCGGAGGUGCAAGUCAGCGGUCAAAUUGCGGGGCUCAACCCCGUCCUGCCGUUGAAACUGCAUCCCUUGAGUGCGCGAGAAGUAUGCGGAAUGCGUGGUGUAGCGGUGAAAUGCAUAGAUAUC
rnacentral:rRNA from 1 species